rnacentral:rRNA from 1 species
GGACCCGCACAAGCGGUGGAGUAUGUGGUUUAAUUCGAUGCAACGCGAAAAACCUUACCAGGGUUUGAAAUAAUUUCAAAACUUCUUGAAAGAGAAGCCUCCUUCGGGAUGGAAUUACAGGUGGUGCAUGGCUGUCGUCAGCUCGUGUUGUGAAAUGUCAAGUUAAGUCUUGUAACGAGCGCAACCCAUGUCUCUUGUUGCUGUUUACAGUGCUUAAGAGAAACUGCCGAUCAACAUCGGAGGAAGGUGUGGAUGAUGUCAAGUCAGCAUGCCCCUUACAUCCUGGGCUACACACGUACUACAAUGGUCGAGACAAAGGGUCGCUAACCUGCAAAGGCAUGCCAAUCUCAUAAACUCGAUCUCAGUUCGGAUUGUACUCUGCAACUCGAGUACAUGAAGGUGGAAUCGCUAGUAAUCG